UUGGAGUUCAAGAUUACUUUUAAUGGGCGGGAGAGAAGUUUUAAUAUCGCACUUUAUCAUUAGAAAUGCAGAAUGUCUCAUAAUGGGUUCGGGCAGAGGCGAAGUUAGGGGGCAGGGGCCCGACCCCAUAAAAUGAAAAAUUAUUAUUCAGGCCAUUUAAAAUUUUUUAUAAUUUUAAAUUAAUAAAUAUAAAAUUGUACUUUAAACUCUUAAAAUCAUUCGGCUCCCUAAAAAAUUGUUUCGGCUUCACCCUUGGGAUCGGGGAUCAAAGUACAUAACCUGGUCAGAUCAAUGGUGAUAGUCGAAGUGACAGCAGUUCUUCAUGGGCUCCAAUUUGCAUUAGAUAUGGGCUUCAUAAAUGCCAUUCUGGAAAGUGAUUCGAAGCUGGUUAUCCAGAAUAUUCAACAAAUGAGUGAAGAUUACUCGGAAUCUAGACCACUCACCUGGGAUGCGAAGGUUCUUGCAAGGAACUUUAUUUCUUGUUGAUUUCAAUUUGUUGCAUGAGAAGGGAACGCUGCAACGCAUGCAGUGGCUGUCGAAGGUUUGCGAACGCUAGUGGACUCAUUCUGGGUUGAAGAUGCUUCAACAAAAGUUUUGGAAGUGGUAGACUCAGAUCGACGAUUCAGUCAUCCACCCUAGCCUCCUCUACUAUGAUGUUGAUUUUUGAGUUGAGAAAUGUCAAAAUCUUCCUGUAAAUCUCAACUCGCCUCCUUGUCUGGCCGAUCUUUCACCAUAAUUUUGGGGGUUAUGGCCGUUUGGUGUUUCAGGUACGCGAAGGGACUGGAAGAAGGUUCUGGAGAGGGUUGUGUUUCUUUUUUUUUUGUUUUCGUUACUGUGCUGUUAGAACUUUACUUUUGUUUGCUUGUUGGAUUACUUUUGGACUUCUUUAUUUUUUGGUCUUCCAGGCCCAUAUAUUUCAAACGGACUUUGACUAAAAAAAUUAACUUUGAAAAUAAAUAUAUGAAUGAAUUAUUUUAAAUAUAUAAAUACAGAUUAAUUAGUAAAUAUAUUCUUCAAAACAACAUCAAAUUUCAACUUUGGAGUUUGACUUAUUGGU
rnacentral:lncRNA from 1 species